ensembl:lncRNA
UUUUUUUUUUCACUGAAUCUUCUUUAGAUGGUAACCAAUUACAUCCUUUCAGGCAGGAAACAACUCAGUCAUAAGUGAUUCUACAUGACUUUUGUCUGGAGAAAGUGUUGUGGUAGCCAUUGGCUACUGGAAAUGAAGUUGUGUGCAGUGAUAAUAGAUUUGUUGGGUUCAUAAGCUCUUUCACCUCUUGGAAAGAAAGAGAUAGGUGAAAGUAAGUACUCCAGAUCUCCAGAUGUCUUGACACCAUAUUACAUCAGAUGAGUGAUGGGCUAGAAUUAUUUUUCAGUGAUGGUCUUUGCAGCAGCAAACAUCAAGUUGUCCCAGAUGCUAUCCCUUUAUACUCCUUUGGAGCUCUUCUAAAAAAAUUAAUCUCCUCUCUCUAGAACGGGAGACGUCUGAGGUGUUGAUUAAGAAACUAAAAGGAAGGAUUCCUCACUAUGUCUGAAUGCUCCUUCUCAUCAUUUAAAAGAAGUCAGAGGUAAAUACUACAUGUCUACCUGUUUACUUACAGGUGUUUGAAACUUCCCUUUCUCUUUAGAGUGUUGCAAUGAGAAGCCAUAACAAAAUAAAACUCGGGGAAAAAAAACAAAAACGACAGUGUAAGUAGUACUAUUUUAGAUGACAUUAGAGUACAGGGCAAGGGAAUGAAAUAAAUAAAGUUUGAGGACUGAAAAUCUGAACCUCUCCUUGCAGGCUGUGUGAGUCCAGGAACUAAUAAACAUCUUUUGAUCAUCUGGACACCAGGAAAGUUCAUGCAUAACCUGAAGGUUCAUAAAUUAUAAAAGAUAUUUUCUUAAGCUGAUUUUAAUGAAGAACAAGAGCUUUUAUAGGUUAGACUUUGAAUGGGAAAAGGUUAAUGUAGACAGUAAUUACUGAUCUGUGAAUACUGCUGGAAAUACUGUACUAUUCUGCAUGCUUAUUUGGGCUACUUCUAUGUAGGAAAAUAAUUCAACGCUUUUAUGGAAUCACUAUAAUAUUCAGAAACACAAACACAUGUUUGCUGGGUCUGGUGGUUAUGUAAGGAGGCACUUAAAAUAAUCCAGAAGAAUGGUGAAAAGGGCUUUUUCCAUUCUUCAUAAAUGUCAGCACUGUAAAAGGGGAUACGAAUAUAAAAAAUUUGUUUAAUGCAAUUCUUUGCUGCAAGUGGUAGAUUUCUACCUUCAGAAAGUGUCAGCUUUGUAGAAAAGGCUCUGAGAGACCUUGGGGACAAUCAGCUGACAUCAAGUCUGUAGUGUGCCCUUGCAGCAAUGAGGCCAGUUUUACUUGAGCAGUAUUAUAAGGAGCAUAGGAAGCAGCUAAAGAGAAAAUCUUUCUUGAUGGAUGAUGGCUAUAUUUAAAUAUCAUGCACUGAUCAACAAGUCUUCUUAAAAAAGUAGUGGUCUGUCCAUAGAAUAUUGAUCCAGUAGCAAGAUAAUUGUUGACUAAUUUCUCGUUUUCUUCUAGUUGAUAAUAAUACAGAAAAUUCAGUGCACCUGAGUGCAAUAUGAGCAUCUUUAUUGAAUUCAUUCUUCAUGCAAGUCCUUCUAAAAAUCAAAAGUGUGUUCUAUACAGUGUCAUAUUACUGAGGUGUAUUUGGAGAAAUUAUUAAGUGGGAAAAGUAUGAUUUUUUUCUAUGCUAUACCCCUACUCAUGUUUGUUGAAAUCUAAAAUGAAUGUAAUCUCAAUGUUAAGAAAAUUAUGUAUCUAAAUUAUAUGUGUACUUAAUAUUACUUGAAGCGAUGAGCCUAGUUUAAGGAAAAGUUUUCUUCAGGUUUAACCAUUACACUGAACCAGAAGCAUGAUUCAGAACCUUUAAUCACUGAGCAUUCUCUGGUUUUGUAAAGAUUUUAAAUUUCAAGGUUAGUCACCUUGUACAAGCGACACACUGCCACGUGAUUUGCCAUUGUUUUUACAGAAGCUGCAGGCAAGAAUCAGUUUUUCAUGUUUUGUCAGGCAGCUGCAGUUCCACAUCCCAAUACCUGCUGUCUUAACCACGCCUCUACUCCCUUGUCCACCAAUAUAGUAUCACACAGUUGUCCCAUUUUAAGGAAAGUAAAGGAAAUACUGUAUAACACCCUACUUUUAUUCUAAUCCCAAUGAUUUUAGGAUGACAGGGAAAAGGCCCAUUUGCAUAGCAGCAGCUAUUUCAUUUGUGUUUUUACUUAACUUGCUUAGAACUUUUAAAGUGAACAUCAGUAACUGUGUUGAUUUGUUACGGAAGAAACAGCAUAGAAUUGUGCUAACUGAUGAUCAUGAAUAUUCAUAAGGUAAAGCUGGAUAAUAAAGUUUGAGUGCAAGUGGUGAAGAACUGGGAGAAGAUAAUAAAACAGGACAUUACUGACUUUUCUCAGUACUCAAUCCUAAAAAGCACUAAUACAAGGCGCUUAGGUCCUUAGAUAUAGAACUAUAAAACUUUGAGAAACUUUAAAGAAAUAUACGUAUUUAACUACCUAUAGACAUAAGAAUAGAUGAUGGUUGCUGCAUUCUCUAUGCUACUGAUUGUGAUUUCCUGCUUUAUAAAAAGCCUGCUCAAACUUUCAGCACAGGCAGAACAGAGUAGGGGCACUAUAGAAAGUGCACUUUUAAUAGAGUUUCUUGGAGAAAUCGUGGUGGUGAGUGAUAAGUGCCAAAAGAGAGGAGGGUAUGGGUGGAACAUAGUGGAAGUCUAAUUAAAAUUCUGUGGAUUUUUAUUGGAAGAUCCUUGCUUUGCCAGAGCAAUAGUUGCUCUCAGUGCCUGAUAUUCUCUGGGCUUUCUUUGUUGCCUUUCUUAAUGCUCUCUUUGGUUCAAGUCUAGGUGACUGUUUGGAAAGACAGAAUCUUGAUUUGGCCCAAACAGUCUGAUGUGCUCCUUUGCAAAAUCAGCUAUACCUGGAGAUUAUUUUGCUUGAGUUCCCUGCAACUACAAGAAAAUUUUUAGCUACCUCUGGACAAAUAACUUGUCCCAUCCCCGUUCAGAGGAAAACUGCAUUUUUUUUUCUAUGAGAAUGUGUCCCCUCUGGGCCAUAGGAAAAGUCUUUUCAAUUGGUAGGGAAUGCUGACUGAAAACUGGAAGCUCUGUUAAAAUUGCCAAGCUUUGACAUUUGUUCUUUAUUCUACAUUGAGAUGAAUUAAGACCAUGCAAAUUAUGUUUGUGAAAACAUCACAAAAAGCAACAAUGAUAUAGCUGCUGGGAGCUCGAGGUUUGAGAUGCUGUGCUUCCUGAUUCAUUUACACGUUGGGCAGCGUUCCAAAUCACUUUUCAUUUGUUUGAUUGAUAUUUUAAGUGUUGCAAAUGAAGCAGAAUACCAAUAUCUUAGUGAUUAGGAUUUCCACCAGAGGCAUGGGAGACAGAUAUUUGUCACUUUCCUGUGUAAAUACUUGCUGUGGCUGGGAGUCCCCAUCAUUCCAGUGCAGUUUUGCUCCGUGUAACACGGUAUGCUUCUAAACACAAAUGCUUCAGAGGAUUGUUAUCGUUUAAUCCCAGCAGGCAGCUCAGGACCAUGCAUCUCACUCUCCUCAGAUAAGAUGGGAGAGAGCAUCAGGAAAGUGAAAGCAGGAGAACUCGUGGGUUGAAAGAACAACUGCCCACUAAGUAAAGCAAAAACCAUGUGAGCAGGUAAAGCCAACGAGGAAUUCAUUCACUAUUUCCCAUCAGAGGCAGCUGUUCAGUCCCUCCCAAAAGACUAGGGCUCAGCAUGCAUAGUGAUUUCCUGGGAAGACAAAUGCCAUCAGCUGCGAUAUUCCACCUUCCUUCUUCUUUCCCUCAGCUGUUACUGCUGAUCAUGAAGCCCUACGGUAUGAGAUAUCCCUUUGGUCAGUCUGGAUCAGCUGUCCACAUCCCCUCCCAGCUCUCUGUGCAUCCGUAUUUUUUUAAAAAACCUUGAUUUGGAAAAAGUAUCAGUGUAUUGUAAUAUUGAAGAGCAGUACAGCUUACCAUGAGCGCUUUGGAAAGCUUUACAGACAGGCACUGAACCUUUCAGCAGGAAGAUAUUGGGAAUGGUUUUGAUUACACUGCCCCGUACUGCAAAACAUACAAGGAGGGGGGAGUUCAUUUAAGAUGGAAUGAAGAUUGAACUACCAUGUAUCUUUUAACAUGCUACAAAUUAAGAACUGAACUUAUUUACUUCAGUGUGCAAGGGACACUGCGUGUCUUUGCAAACACAUAGAAACUUGAUGUGCCUGCAAGCAAACGUUUGGAAGGUAAGAAUAAUGAUACCAAUUCACUCCUAUAGACUGUAGACAUAAUUGAAUCCUCUGAGAAAUUAAGUAUACAAACACUGACAUAUAAAAAGCUAGAUAGAUUUGCUUGAAUCAGGACAGCCAACACAUAAAAAACAGCAGUAUCUAUCUACUUAAAGGGAGAGUGUUAGAAAGAGAGAAUCCAAUCAACAUAAAAGACAUGAGAUAAUACAAGAGUGACCUUUUCAAGUUAAGUUCCUGUAUUUUUCCUAAAUUAUUCUUUUUAUCAAAUGUUUCUAAUAAGUCCAUUCACCCAGACUAGAUGGGCUACUCUAGCAGUAAGAUGUUAUCCCCUGUGCUGUGACAAAGUCAGAAUGUAGACCUGAUGAAAUUGGCAGUAUCUCAUUUAGCUCAUGUUUGGAGAAAGAGAAGGUUAAAUACCAGUGUGUAGAGGCUUCCAUGGUGCAGUCUCAAUUUGGUCCCUCUUUUAUGACUCUUUUUCAUAUAUGCAACUUUGUGCUUUUUGUCAAAGAAUAUUUUGGUAACAGUAAUUAUCCAUUAGAAGAUUUAUCUCUGCUUCACAUUCAAGAGCUUUCAUGGCAUCCGUAGUUGAAUAAUUUUGAUACUGAUGGCUACUUGGUGGUUUUGGACUGAGUAAUUAUACAUCCACAGGGAGAGAAAGGCAUGCUGCCAAAGCAUUUCAAGUGCUAUCUCAGCAAUGCAAAAGACUUGGCAUUUCCCUCUGUCAUUUUUCAUUCUCAAAGUGCUAUAAACAUAUGCUGAAGAAAAUAUUUCAAGUACCUGGGAAGAGUAGCCCAGUACACUAUCAGCUCAACUCUUCUGGACAUUCUUAUUUAUUUUGCUAAAUGAAGGCAUCUUUAGAAACUAGUUAUCACAGAAGGAAUUAUUAUCCUUUUCGUUACUGUUGCACAGAUGUACUGUAUUUCUCCAUCGUCUCUUUUUUAGUAAUCAGAAUAAGACAGGGAACAGGAUGAGGAAAGAGAUGAGUAUACUGUUGCAGUUUAGUACCAGUGUUCCCAUCGACUCGAUGUUUUCUGAAUCUGAAUUCUACAACAUGGUGUGGAUUCAGCAAGAAAUGUCCCGAGAAAUGGUGGAUCAGAAGAUAGAAAAUGGCAGUGACAUCCACCUUUGUGCCAGGCACAGUGCCGGUACUCCAGAGCCACACAACAACUGUCUCCAACCUCACAUUCGUGCUUGUAAUUCCAGACACGCUUAAUGACGUAUAUCAAUGGUUCCUCCCCCAUACAAUGUUAAAAAAAACUUCCACUUGUAUUUUCAAUUAUGUUAUUUUUCACUUAGACAUGUCUGAAACUUCAGCAACAACAAAUCUUUAACUUAUUCCCUUCUUUUUACUUCGGGUUGAUUUUGUUACUGGUUUUUGUUUGUUUGUUUGUUUUUCUUUUUCUGUCUUCACAACAUACUGCAGGUUUGAGUCUCUCAGAGCCAGAAAGAAAUCGGUAUCAAGACGUGCUAAGAAUGUAUUGUAGUUACUAAGGAAGUGGUUUCCCAAGCAACAGUAACCACAAGAAAUUUGACAGAAUUUCUUCCUUUGCUACUAUAUCAUGUUUGAAGAUUUCAAAGAGCCAGGAUGUGGGUAGCAUAAGUGAUUUUGUCCUUGUUAAACAGAAGCAGAUACAGUAAUGUCCUUGUCCUUACUAAAGAAAGGGUUAAAUUCAGUAAGUUACAAUUUUCCUGGUAGCAGAAAAAAAUGUGGAUGUGCCAAAUAGUCCUGCAGCAUGUGGGCAGAUGCUAGAGGCAACAUUCUCAGUUGUUACAUACUCAGUGGUGAUAUUUACCAUUCAAGAAAGCCAUGCCAACACUUUGGUUUGCUCCAGACACUGGAAGAGACAUUUACCAGCUUGAUGAUGUCAAAAAGUGUAGGAAACUUGCACUUGCUUGAUAUUAGUAGAAGGAUCAGAACCAAAGGUAAUGAAGUUGCAUUGUCCUAACUUCUCUGCAGUGGUGUAAACAAAAUGGAGUCAGCUGGGCAUCAAUCAAAGAAUGCAGUGUCAUUGCUAUUCUGUUUUGAUCAAGAAAUGAAAAUAACACAGUAGAUGUUGCCCUCUGAAAGUGAAUUUAAUGCUUGUUCUUAGAAGGGAAUUGGAAACAACAGGUUCUAUGGGUUAACAAGCAGUGCAAUUUAAUAUGUUUUCUCGAUAGAAAAUGUGAAUAAUUCCUACCUGCUUCUGUGCGCUGAGGUUUAUUGAGUGGUAAGGCACCACAGAGGCACUGUUAAUAAAGAGCUCAAUCCAGCAAGACAAAGAAAGAGAUGACUCAUUUUUCAUUUGAGUUUCAGGUACUAAGAAAAUCAAAAUUUCUUUCAAAAAUUUGUCUUUAAGAAGUGAUUCUUUAUAUCCACUUCAUGUUUAUGGUGAAAUUUAAAAAAGAAAAUGUGGUGGUGUGCAUGUGAGCCAAAUCCCAAGGGAAGGUAUGUAUUGAAGGAGGUGUGUUUCCAUAUGUUAUUAAGGUUCGUGCUUUGUAGGUACACUUACAUCUUUUCUGAAAACUUAGAUUUCUGCUUUGACCAGAGUAAGAAUUUUUUUACAAUUGUACAAACUCCUACUUAUCUUCUGGAUUGCAGGUCACCAUGCAUAAUGAAACAUUUGAGCUACGGAACCUUUUAAAGUAUACGAAGAAACAAUUAUGUGUAUUAUGAAACUGUUCAGCAGUAUGGAUUGGGGCCAGCUCUGUGCAUUCCCAGAUGUAAUGGACAUAAUUGCAGGUCUCCAAGCACAGACACUGAAGUGAAUGACUGAGGGGAUUUGGGGGCUUCACUGGCUCUGGAUCUGUAUCAGCAGUGCCAGAAACAAACUGGCUCAUUAAAAGCUUUAAUCUUAUUUCACUUAUUACCCUUUCACUUAUUUCUACCUUUGUGAACUGCUUCAUGCAAAGAACUGCCUUUUUAAACCAUCUCUCAAACCCUCUUCAAGUUGCAGAACUAAUAUUCUUAGCUAACAAGCUCUUAGUUAAGUAAGUGGUUAGAAAACUUCUAAGUCCUUCAGAAGGCUUCCUUCCAACACAUCCUCCGUAGACAUACUAAUGUGUUUGUAUUUCUGUGAUGCAUUAAGACAUCUAAAAGAAUACUGCUUGUAGGCAGGUAAAUGCUAUAAUUAGAAAAAAACAAGUUGAGUCUCCAAAUAAAGUCAUCUGUUUCUUUUAAAAAUACAGUAGAUGCACUAUAAUGUAGGAACUUAAUUUAUUUAAAUAAAGUUUGUUUGUAUUCAUGCACAGAACCCAACUAAAUCAAAUGUCUGCAGCUUUUGUGCAUGCUUGCAUUUUAAGCAGUUGCAUCUAAUCAGAAUAGUUAUCAUUUUAAUAGAGCUGGCGCACAUUAAAAAGAGCAUGGAUGGGGGGAUGUUACCCUCCCCCUCUACUCUGCCCUGCUGAGGCCACAUGUAGAGUACUACGUCCGGUUCUAGACUCCUCAGUUCAAGAAAGACAGAGAGAGUCCAACAAAGGGUCAUAAAGAUGAUGGGGAACCUGGAGCAUCUCCCUUCUGAGGAAAGGCUGAGAGACCUGUGACUGUUCAGCCCAGAGAAGACUGAGAAGGAAUCUUACCAAUGCCUAUGGAUAUCUGAAGUGUGGAAGUAAGGUGGAUGGGGCCAGGCUCUUUUCAGUGGUGCCCAGUGACAGGACAAGGGGCAAAGGGCACAAACUGGAACACUAGAAGUUCCAUAUGAACUUGAGGAAAAACCUCUUUGAAAGUGACAGAGCACUGGAACAGGCUGCCUGGAGAGAUUGUGGAGUCUCCUUCUCUGGAGAUAUGCAUAUCUGCCUGGACGCCUUCCUGUAUGACCUACUGUAGGGAACUUGUUUUAUCAAGGGUGGGACUAGAAGAUGUCCAGAUGAUCUCCAGCCACAGUGAAUCUGUGAUUCUGUGUAUCACUUUAUUUAUUCAGUUUUUUUUCUUUUUCAGAGAAAGCUGCCUCUGCCCUCGAAGGCCUCUCAUUUUACCAGGAUGUAUGCAGUGGACACAGACCUGAUAAGAAAUUAUGAGGUUGCAGUUUCUACUGGAAUAAGAGUUCAAUGCAGUCACUUACCCAGACUUCACUUCAUCAUGUCUGAGCACUUACAGCUAUAACUUGUGAUCUUUCUGGUUUAUUUGGAGGCACAGCAAGCCAGCUCCUGUACACAGAGGCAUCCUUAUAUGCUUUCUAAUGUGAUGCUGCUGCGUGGGAUAUUGAGAUCACAGUGAAGGUCGCAGUGCAAAUAUUUACAUACAGGCAAGUCUUAGUGUAUGACUCUCUGGAGACCCCUACAUAAAGGCUGUGAAUCUGAUUAGAUUCCAAAAUGGAAGAGCAAGACAUCUUGUUUUUGUCCAUACUCUUGAAAAUGUUAUCCUAACCCUCAAGAACAUUAAGAACAGUAAGGCUAUGAAGAGAUGGAGAAGAACAACUGAAGUUCCAUAACAAGCCAAAACUAACUGUGGACCAGGACACCUCAUUCUAGGAACAUGUAUAAAACAACAGUCCGUGUCCAGGCAAGUCUGAUGAAGGAGCCACUGAUCUUCUAGACGAGACUAGGAGUCAUCUUCAGUAGCCUAAGCCAGGAAAUGGCCUCUGGAUGGGUGGCUACUCAAGUGGAGAACACUAUGAAUAUGCAGAGAGCCCAUGGGGAAUACAGAGAGAGACUGAUCAGCAAAGAAAUCUGCUUAAGGUGUCAGAAAGCUUAUGAAAAAA